AUACUUAUGUGCUAGGGGAGUUACCAUGAUCAUGAUGAUUUUCCCAAGGUGAGGCUUAUCCAUACCAGUACAGAUGUACUGACCCUGUGAUUUCCUCAAAUGCAAAAAGGCUCUGCUGCAUAAUUUAUAUUAAUGGAGAUUGCAUCUGCACUCUCCCC
ensembl:snRNA U1 U1 spliceosomal RNA